AACGUUGUCUAUAUGUACCCUGUAGAACCGAAUUUGUGUGGUUCGUACAGUCACAGAUUCGAUUCUAGGGGGAUAUAUGGUCGAUGCA
ensembl:miRNA xtr-mir-10b xtr-mir-10b